AGCCCAACUCUAGCCCAAUCUUAGAUCACAACCAAAGCACCUCAAAAAUCCACGACAUUCCCCACACCAAACUAAAACAUUCUCCAAACUUAGUAUAGGCGAUAGAAAAGACUCACCAAUGGCGCGAUAGAGCUCUGUACCGCAAGGGAAAGAUGAAAUAAUAAUGAAAAACCAAGCAGCAAAUAGCAAAGACAAACCCUUGUACCUCUUGCAUCAUGAUUUAGCAAGAACAACCAAGCAAAACGAACUUAAGCUUGCCAUCCCGAAACCUAAGCGAGCUACUUGCGAGCAGCCAUAUCAUGGGCAAACCCGUCUCUGUGACAAAAGAGUGGGAUGACUUGCUAGUAGAAGUGAAAAGCCAACCGAGCUGGGUGAUAGCUGGUUGCCUGUGAAACGAAUUUAAGUUCUCUCUUAAUUCCUCUCCAUGGACUAUAAAACCCAACUCUCACGAAGCGAAUAAAGAGCAAUUUGAAGGGGGUACAGCCCCUUUAAAAAAGAACACAACCUCCAAUAGAGGAUAAUCAAGGUAAUUUUCUCCUCCUCUCCUGUAGGCCCUUAAGCAGCCACCAACAAAGAAUGCGUCAAAGCUCCACUCACAAAAAAUCCAAGAAUAACCCGACUCCCUCACCACCAACAGGCCAACCUAUCAAUAAUAGGAGAAUUAAUGCUAAAAUGAGUAACUAGAACCCCCUUCUCUAAAGCGCAAACUUACAUCACCACAUCAUUAACAGAUCCCAACUAAUACCUCACAUUCAACCAGACCAAAUAUUAAACUUAACCCUGUUACCCCAACUCAGGAGCGCCUAAUUAGAAAGAUUAAAAUCUGUAAAAGGAACUAGGCAAACCCAGGGCCCGACUGUUUACCAAAAACAUAGCCCUCAGCCAGCCAAGUAUUGAGGGUGACGCCUGCCCAGUGACAAUGUUCAACGGCCGCGGUAUUCUAACCGUGCGAAGGUAGCGCAAUCAAUUGUCUCAUAAAUCGAGACCUGUAUGAAUGGCUAAACGAGAUCCUAACUGUCUCUUACAGAUAAUCAGUGAAAUUGAUCCCCCUGUGCAAAAGCAGGGAUAAAUACACAAGACGAGAAGACCCUGUGGAACUUAAAAAUCAGCAGCCACCACACACAAACUCAAACCUACAAGGCCCACCACUUCCUUAAACCCUGGCCUGCACUUUUUCGGUUGGGGCGACCUUGGAGAAAAACAAAUCCUCCAAAGACAAGACCACACCCCUUAACCAAGAGCAACCCCUCAACGUACUAACAGUAACCUAGACCCAGUAUAACUGACCAAUGAACCAAGCUACCCCAGGGAUAACAGCGCAAUCCCCUUCAAGAGCCCAUAUCGACAAGGGGGUUUACGACCUCGAUGUUGGAUCAGGACAUCCUAAUGGUGCAGCCGCUAUUAAGGGUUCGUUUGUUCAACGAUUAACAGUCCUACGUGAUCUGAGUUCAGACCGGAGCAAUCCAGGUCGGUUUCUAUCUGUGAUGAACUUUUCCUAGUACGAAAGGACCGGAAAAGUGAGGCCAAUACUUACAAGCAAGCCUCCUCCUUAAGCAAUGACUACCACUAAAUUGCUAAAAGAUACCCACUCUUUAAACCCAAGUUCUAGAAAAGAACAG
rnacentral:rRNA from 1 species